rnacentral:rRNA from 1 species
GACGAACGCUAGCGGCGUGCUUAACACAUGCAAGUCGAACGGAAAGGCCCUGCUUUUGCGGGGUGCUCGAGGGGCGAACGGGUGAGUAACACGUGAGUAACCUGCCUUUGACUUUGGGAUAACUUCAGGAAACUGGGGCUAAUACCGGAUAGGUGCUCGUGCUGCUUGGUGGGGGUCGGAAAGUUUAGGCGGUUGGGGAUGGACUCGCGGCUUACCAGCUUGUGGGUGGGGUAGCGGCUUACCAAGGCUUUGACGGGUAGCCGGCCUGAGAGGUCGAACGGCCACAUUAGGACUGAGGUACGGACCAGACUCCUACAGGAGACAACGGUAGGGAGUAUGACACAGUGGGCGGACGCCUGAUACAGCGACGCCGCGUGCGGGAUGACGGCCAUCGGGUUAUAAAGCGCUUUCACCUGUUACGUAGCGUGAGUGACGGUAAUGAGUGAAGAAGCACCGGCUAACUACGUG